UACGGGGGGAGCAAGCGUUAAUCGGAAUUACUGGGCGUAAAGCGCACGUAGGUGGCGACGUAAGUCGGGUGUGAAAGCCCCGGGCUCAACCUGGGAAUUGCAUUCGAGACUGCAUUGCUGGAGUACGGAAGAGGAAGGCGGAAUUCCCGGUGUAGCGGUGAAAUGCGUAGAUAUCGGGAGGAACAUCAGUGGCGAAGGCGGCCUUCUGGUCCAGUACUGACACUCAAGUGCGAAAGCGUGGGGAGCAAACAGG
rnacentral:rRNA from 1 species